rnacentral:rRNA from 1 species
GAACGCUAGCUACAGGCUUAACACAUGCAAGUCGAGGGGCAGCACAGUGUAGCAAUACAUGGGUGGCGACCGGCGCACGGGUGCGUAACGCGUAUCCAACCUUCCCGUUACUCAGGGAUAGCCUUCCGAAAGGGGAGAUUAAUACCUGAUGGUGUUCAAAUUCCGCAUGUUAUUUGAACUAAAGAUUUAUCGGUAACGGAUGGGGAUGCGUGACAUUAGGUAGUAGGUGAGGUAACGGCUCACCUAGCCUACGAUGUCUAGGGGUUCUGAGAGGAAGGUCCCCCACACUGGAACUGAGACACGGUCCAGACUCCUACGGGAGGCAGCAGUGAGGAAUAUUGGUCAAUGGUCUGACGACUGAACCAGCCAUGCCGCGUGAAGGUCACGGCCCUAUGGGUCUUAAACUUCUUUCGCGAGGGAGCAAUAAGGCGCACGUGUGCGUCGAUGAGAGUACCUCGCGAAUAAGCAUCGGCUAACUCCGUG